rnacentral:misc_RNA from 1 species
UCAAACUUGGUCAUUUAGAGGAAGUAAAAGUCGUAACAAGGUUUCCGUAGGUGAACCUGCGGAAGGAUCAUUAACAAAGUGUUUAAACAAACCUCACUCUUGGUCAAUCGCGAUCUUGAGGGGGGGGAUCCACAAACAUCCCCACUUUGUGUGCACUGUUUUGGUAUUUGGCGGUCUUGGACAUUUUUUCUUUGUCGAAGCCUCAUAUAAAUAUAUGCUGCUCUUUUCCUUUUUUGUGUUGAUAAGGGUGUGUGCUUUUGCGCCAUCCGAGAUGGAGAGAGGGAAAAGAGGCCGCCACUUGUAUUAUUACAAACUUUGUAUUAUUUGUCUGAAUUUUUUAAACAUUUUUAAGCAAACAUAUUUAUUUAUGUUGCUGAAUAAUUUUAAAAAAAAACAACUUUUGACAACGGAUCUCUUGGCUCUCGCAUCGAUGAAGAACGCAGC